AAAACACACACACUUAAAUGUGGGGGUUCUUGCAAGAGCUAUCUCCAAGCUAGAGUUCAUAAUUUUAGCAUUUAAAUUUUGCUUCCAUACCAAGAGUUAGCAGGGUUUGGCUGGUGAUUUGAUAUUGCAAUAAUAUUGUCCUAUUCAACAUGACAACUCUAACCCUAUCCAUGAUUCUCUUAGAAAGAGUCGGGAAGUAUUCAAUAAUUUGAGUCUCAUCAUUACAGGAAUACGGUGGCUACACAUCAUAUUUUCCCUCCCAUGUGAAUGCACCAGCCAAGUUGACAUUGGUGGAUAGUCAUGACACACCCUGUAACAGAAUUUUAUGGCUCACUGUUACAACACACCUCAGGUGCCAGGACGAAGAUGACUCAACGGAAGUGAAGAGCCAGGGAUUCCAGGGCAGUGUCAGAUCUGAAAGGCAAUCCCAGCACCAGCUCCUUGUCUCACACAGGCUUCCAGGACGAAGAUGGCUCAAUGGAAGUAAAGAGCCAGGGAUUCCAGGGCAGUGUCAGAUCUGAAAGGCAAUCCCAGCACCAGUUCCUUGUCUCACACGGGCUUGGCAACUUCAAGUCUCUCUAAAGUAGAAAGGAAAAUCAAGUCAAACGGGCUUUCCUGAAACUUGGCGUGAAACACCACGUGCCACCUUUGUUCCUGGAGGAGACACUAAAGUACUUGUUGAGGGGGGGAGAGAUGACCCUGAAGAGAAAGCUACAUAAAGUAUUUCCUGGUUGAAAAGGCUCUGGAAUCAAAGUCUGGAGUUUGAAACUCAACUCUGAAGUGCAUCAGUUGUGCGACCUUAGGGACUCUGGGCUGGAUUUGUGACUCGCUUGAAGAAACAGAAUGUGAUGGAUGUGAAUCUGUGUGACUUUCAGCUUUUUGAAAAAUAAUUAAAAGUCCUGAUUUAGAGCAUUUGCCAAUUUCUAAGAAUCUGCCUGAAAUGCAGAAGACACAGGAGAUGUAGGUUUGAUCCCUAGGUCAGGAAGAUCCCCUGUAUAGGAAAUGGCAACACACUCCAGUAUGCCUGCCUGAAAAAUCCUGUGGACAAAGGAGCCUGGUGGGCUAUGGUCCGAAGGGUUGCAAAGAUUUGGACACAACUGAAUAACUGAGCACGUGGUAUAAGUACUGCCAGCAUGACUGAUUUCGAGCUACCAAUGUGAUACCACAGAGCAUGUAGUUGGAAAGAGACAGGCAUAAAUGACCAAUGGGCUCCAGCAUAGCAUCGCUUCCAGACUUACUCCUUAGGAGAUCUGUCAGCUUCCAUUUUUGCUUUCUUGGAAUCCAGCUGACAUGAAGGAUCCUUGGGCUAGGCUCUUGAAUGAUGAGAGGCCAAAUGGAAAGAAAGGCCAUGUGGAGAAGAAAAGAAGCCUUAGGCGAUCCAUCCCUGGCUGGGCUCCCAGCUAAAUGCAGCUGCAUGCGUGGCCUCAGCCAACAUUCCAUGACAUGUAAGACCAUGCAGCCAACUCACGGAAAUGUGAGACACAAUACAUUGUUGUAGACUUAAGCCACUACAUUUUGGAAUAUUUUAAUUAGUCAGCAAUAGGUAACUGAACACAUGUAUUGCCAAGCCAUUGUAAAACAAUUUUUUACAUUUUACUCCUAUGUUAGCAAUGUGGUUCAGCUGGUAAAGAAUCCAUCUCCAAUGUGGGAGACCUGGGAUCAAUCCCUGGAUUGGGAAGAUCCCCUGGAGAAGGGAAAAACUACCCACUC